rnacentral:tRNA from 1 species
GCGCUCGUAGCUCAAGGGACAGAGUGCCUGGUUACGGCCCAGGAGGUUGGGAGUUCGAAUCUUCCCGAGCGCGC